AGCACGUGAAUGCAGCAAAGGCUUGAGGGGUCGCUCGAUCUGAAGGAAGCUUGAGGAGGAUUCUGUCAUGUAAAUUGUUCAUAAGCCUCUCAAAACACUCCUGCGACUGAAUCCACUUAUUGUCUGUCAGCACACAAAAGUAGCCGGACUCCCUUAAUACACCCACAGAUGUAUGACUGCAACUGAAAUGUAGUUUGCAAAGGUAAGGGCUAGUAUGGCGAAAAAGAGAAGAGAUGGAGACGGACUGGUACCUGGAGGUGGCUGAGCGCGGUCCACGCUGCAGGAAGUAGGGAGACGAAACUGAAUCCCUGCAAGGAGCAAACACCAGUUAGAAAGGACAAAUGCAGGUUAAAGGCAGCAACCAUGUUAGCAGACUCUUUAAAGGCCUGAAUGGCCUGAGGGACCGGCGGCUCAGAGGCUACGGGUGAGGCAGAAGGGACCCUGUAUGAAGGUGGGGAUGCCGGUGGGACAGAGAUGGCUGUUACGGUGGAGCUAGUACUGUGAUGGCUACGAACAGCAGCAGUCUCUCUCUCCAGCCUUUCCAGCUCCACAUAGGCAGAAGAGCUAGCACCGUCAUCAUCCUCUAUCAUGUCGUCAUUUAGUAAAGAGGUACCAUCCAAAACAUCAUAUCCCUCUGGAAGAAAAAUGUAAAUAUGCAAAAAGAAGGACAUUCAAAGUGAAAGGAACCGCUGGAGUGUGAUUUGGAUUCUCAACUAGAACACAAACACAUAUCUAUGGAAAACAUACAAUAUGUGAGUGAAAAGUAAUUUAAAAGACAUACAAGAUCAGACCCAAUCAUUUCAUGUUUGAUUCUAAAGAUUUAAGCAUUUAAUCAGGGAUGAGCACCCACCAUUGACUGGUGUGCUGUUCAAAUGUGACUACGUCUGCACCAGGUUAUACAAAACCAAGAGGUAACAGAGUUGUUUAAUAAACUCACA